rnacentral:lncRNA from 1 species
AUUUAAGUUUGGGGGAGGGUUUGGGAUGACAUUUGAUGUUGUGUUCUCUUUUCUUAUUUUGAAUUUUUAGCAUAUAAUUUGCAUUCAUAUAUGUGCAUUGAAAACCCCUAAAAAUUUGAAAAAUUUUCAGAAAAAAUCUUUAAAAACAGAGUGAUCAUGUAGCUUGCAUUUGCAUAUUAGGAUUGAGUCUAGAUUGUUUCAUGUAGGACUGUUGCAUUAGCAUAGGGGGCGAUGAUGAGUUACACCGUGU